rnacentral:rRNA from 1 species
CCUUGGUGCUCAUCGCUCAACUGGAACCACGCCAAUCCAUCCCGAACUUGGCUGUGAAAAAGUUGAGGGGAUAUAGCUACUAGAUGGGAGCCUGUCUGGAAUCUAUACCCUAGUGCCAGGG